GUAGCCGGGCUAUUACUACUACCUAAACAGUGCUUCUUGAAAAGAAGGCGAGGCAGAGAGCCAGCGGGGCCGUGUCCUGCAGCAAGGGCCCUCGAUGCUGACCCGGGCGCUCUAUUUGCCCGCACCGUGGCAGGUGCAGAGGACUCGCCACACCAGGGUCACGUGCAGAACCGCAGAGCAGGAGUGAUGGAGCCCGCACACCCCGCGGACGCGUGAGCUCCACCAGGACGACUCGCCAUGUGCCGUCACCGUGAUGGGAUCCUCGCCAAAGCAAGAUGAAAUCACAGUCACAGAGAAGAGGGGGAAGAACUGAAGAGGAAGCUGGUUGUCAGCCACAUGUCUGAGUUCCGCACACAGUCCGGUGACUUCUCCAUGCGACCAAGAAGGCUCUGAUUGGAUGGAUCCCAUGUCAGUUCCACUGACCUGAGGCAUGCUGGGUGAGACUAUCAAUCUAAUGGGACCUCCACUAAACCAUCCAGCUGUUGGCCUUGGCUUGCUUCCUGCUCUUCCCUACAUAUGACCCCAGGUCUCUCCAGCCAAGCAGCGAGCCUGUGGGUGCCCACGUGGCCGCCCUGCCCAGCUCCCCGUGUCCGGGCUGACUGCUGACGUCACAGACCCGAGUCAGAAGGCGCUGCCCUGCGACGCUGCCCCGCUGCGAUCUGCAUUCACCAGGCCUGCCUCAAGGGUUCAGGUCCCGGUCUCUGGGAUCAACAGCUCUAAAAUGCCCAGAAACUGCAAGACAGACACCUGACAUUUACCAACACUCUUUCCUCAAAACAAAAAUCCGUUUCCUGUUCUGUGCCUUCUUAUGCAAGCAAAGACUCACUCAGCUGUAACUACGAAUCACGAGGGGGCAGUGGGCUAGAGUCAGGGGGUCGCAAAGAGUCGACACGAGUGGUGACUGACGCACACUCACAGCCACACAGAUACUGAUACAAACCACGACGAGUUAGGGCCAACCGCCGAGAGCCCUCCCACACCCAGAGUUCAGAUUCCGUAAGAAGGGGAUAGACUCAAGUCACAUAUUCAAUUACAGAGAGAAAAAUGGGAAUACAAUCCCAUGCAGUUGAGAGCUAAUUUUCAGAAUGAUCACCUGGAUCCCUGAAGUACUAAUCAUCUAAGAAAUGGACAUCAAUGAUUAUCUUCCUCUUAUUAAGGAAGACUGUGAAGGAGCCCCUGGACUGCCCAUCCUCGUUACUGACUCUAACUAGACUGUUAAGAAACUUUAAAAACACGGAAUUUAAACAUAAUUCAUAAGUGUGCGAGUUGGGCUUGAGAGGAGAGAACAAAAAAGAAUCUCUAUCCUAGCAGCUGGAAUUCCCAUGGAGGGAGACACACUCCCCUGACCUUGAACCCUGAGCCAGUGUCUGUCCUGGACACAGCGGCCUGGGUGCCAGCCCAUGGCCCACGCUCGCUUGGUCACCCCUCCCUGGUCAUCUCUUGGUCAUCCUUGGUCAUCUCUCCCUGCCUCUCUGGGCUCUGGGCAGAGAAGCUCUACAAAGCGCUCACGGGAGGGGCAGGGCGUCACUCAUCACGUGGCGCUUGUCCCCAUCCCACUGGCCACAGGGACACUAACGCGAGGGC
ensembl:lncRNA